UAUGUACUCCCUCCGUCCGGAAAUACUCGUCGGACGAAUUGAUGUAACUAGACAUAUUUUAGUUCUAGAUACAUUCAUUUUUAUCCAUUUCUUCGACAAGUAUUUCGGGACGGAGGGAGUACUAA
rfam:Triticum aestivum genome assembly, contig: Triticum_aestivum_CS42_TGACv1_scaffold_227406_3B